rnacentral:rRNA from 1 species
CAGCAGCCGCGGGAAUACAGAGGGAGUUAGCGUUGUUCGGAAUUACUGGGCGUAAAGCGCACGUAGGCGGCUUUGUAAGUCAGAGGUGAAAGCCUGGAGCUCAACUCCAGAACUGCCUUUGAGACUGCAUCGCUUGAAUCCAGGAGAGGUGAGUGGAAUUCCGAGUGUAGAGGUGAAAUUCGUAGAUAUUCGCAAGAACACCAGUGGCGAAGGCGGCUCACUGGCCCGAUACUGACGCUGAGGCACGAAAGCGUGGGAAGCAAACAGGAUUAGAUACCCCGGUAGUCCCUGUCUCUUAUAC